GAGUUUGAUCCUGGCUCAGGACGAACGCUGGCGGCGUGCCUAACACAUGCAAGUCGAGCGAGGAAGCCCCUUCGGGGGUGGAAUAGCGGCGGACGGGUGAGUAACACGUGGGUAACCUGCCUCAAAGAGGGGGAUAGCCUCCCGAAAGGGAGAUUAAUACCGCAUAGAAGGUAAAAAUCGCAUGAUAAAUGCCUUAAAGGAGCAAUCCGCUUUGAGAUGGGCCCGCGUCGCAUUAGCUAGUUGGAGGGAUAAAAGCCCCCCCAAGGCGACGAUGCGUAGCCGACCUGAGAGGGUGAACGGCCACAUUGGAACUGAGAUACGGUCCAGACUCCUACGGGAGGCAGCAGUGGGGAAUAUUGCACAAUGGGGGAAACCCUGAUGCAGCAACGCCGCGUGAGUGAAGAAGGUUUUCGGAUCGUAAAGCUCUGUCAUCCGGGACGAUAAUGACGGUACCGGAAGAGGAAGCCACGGCUAACUACGUGCCAGCAGCCGCGGUAAUAC
rnacentral:rRNA from 1 species